CUUCACAAAAAGAGGAGGUUCGCUCCGUAUCCAUCCGUGACCUCUGCUGGCAAAGACCCCACUGUCACAAAUCCAGGAGACUCGGCCCACGAGGAACAUUCCUUCCUGCUCCACCAGCUUCUCUGUGGCCCUCGAUUGAGGAGGCCUCAGCCCUGCCCACAGGGCAGGACGGAGCACACCAGCAAUUAGCUGCCAAACAGGGAUGGAAGCAGAGCCCCUGGGGGCUGUGUUCACCAGUCUUUUGACCAUGUCAGGUUCCAUCAGCGUUGACUGAGCCCACUGGGAGAAAGCUCGGCUUCCUGGGUCUUUGCACAGCCGGUGACAUCUCUUGUAAUUUAGGUCCUGGUUCAAAUGCAACAAACUUCCUCAGAGAAGCCGUUCCUGGUCCCAUCAACCUGGCUACAGUCAUUUAUUCUUUAUCCCAUUAGUCUGUUUUAUUUCUUUCACAGCACUUCUCACAAGCUGAAAUCAUUUUGUCUUGUUUAUGGUAUUUGGUUUUAGAGCACAGGGACUUUGCCUCUCUGGUUCCCUGCCAUAUCCCUAACAUCUGCGUCCCUAGCAUUUAAAAGUAUAUUUGGCAUAUUUACCCAAAUGACUUGAAAAUUUAUAUCCACACAAGAGCCUGUCUGCAAAUGUUUAUGACAGGUUGUUUCAUAAUUGCCAAAAACUGGAGGCAACCAAGAUGUCCUUCCAUAGCUGCAAGGACAAAUUGUUGUGUCUUUGAGUACACAAUGGAAUAUUAUUCAGCUAUAAAAAGAAAUGAGCUAUCAAGUCAUGAAAAGAGGUAGAUGAAUCUUAAAGGCAGAUUGCUAAAUGGAAGAAGACAGUCUGAAAAGGCUACAUACUACAUGGUUCCAAUUAUAUGACAUUCUAGAAAAGGCAAAACUAUGGCAAUGGCAAAAAGAUUCGUGGUCGCCAGGAGCUCAGGGAGAAGUGGGGGCAGCUGAAUGGUUAAAGCACAGGGGAUUUUUUAGGGUGAUGAAACUAUUCUAUAUGGCACUGUAAGAGUGGAUACAUGACACCAUGUAUUUGUCAAAACACAUAGAACUUUACGACACAAAGAACAAAUCUUAAGUACGCAAAUUUUUUAAAAUAAUUUAAGAGACUGGGGAAUCCCAAAAUGGAAUGCAGAAUGUGACAAAACAAUGUAACUAUAUUAAAAAUGUAUGAAACAAGCCCACUGAAGGCGCUAUGGGGAAAAGGUGCUGACCUAAGUAACUGGAAGCCAGUAGAGUCUAAGUCUAAAUGCAAGGUGAACUGCACAUAAGCACUGCACUCUAGCUGAUUACGCUGUGUUCCGAGGGGUGUGUGUUAAUGAUUCUGACACUGCUAUACUUGUAUGCCACAAUCAAACAACUAAGUGAAUGGGUGGCAGGUGGUGGGAACCCCACGUGUCUCACUG